rnacentral:rRNA from 1 species
CAGCUUGCUGGGGGUUUUAGUGGCGAACGGGUGAGUAACACGUGAGUAACCUGCCCUUAACUCUGGGAUAAGCCUGGGAAACUGGGUCUAAUACCGGAUAUGACUCCUCAUCGCAUGGUGGGGGGUGGAAAGCUUUUUUGUGGUUUUGGAUGGACUCGCGGCCUAUCAGCUUGUUGGUGAGGUAAUGGCUCACCAAGGCGACGACGGGUAGCCGGCCUGAGAGGGUGACCGGCCACACUGGGACUGAGACACGGCCCAGACUCCUACGGGAGGCAGCAGUGGGGAAUAUUGCACAAUGGGCGAAAGCCUGAUGCAGCGACGCCGCGUGAGGGAUGACGGCCUUCGGGUUGUAAACCUCUUUCAGUAGGGAAGAAGCGAAAGUGACGGUACCUGCAGAAGAAGCGCCGGCUAACUACGUGCCAGCAGCCGCGGUAAUACGUAGGGCGCAAGCGUUAUCCGGAAUUAUUGGGCGUAAAGAGCUCGUAGGCGGUUUGUCGCGUCUGCCGUGAAAGUCCGGGGCUCAACUCCGGAUCUGCGGUGGGUACGGGCAGACUAGAGUGAUGUAGGGGAGACUGGAAUUCCUGGUGUAGCGGUGAAAUGCGCAGAUAUCAGGAGGAACACCGAUGGCGAAGGCAGGUC